CGUGAAGGUACAUUUGUCAAGGCAGGAGGU
rnacentral:piRNA from 1 species